rnacentral:rRNA from 1 species
CAGGGAUUGCCCUAGUAACGGCGAGUGAAGCGGCAACAGCUCAAAUUUGAAAGCUGGCUCCGGCCCGCAUUGUAAUUUGCAGAGGAUGCUUCUGGUGAGGUGCCUUCCGAGUUCCCUGGAACGGGACGCCAUAGAGGGUGAGAGCCCCGUAUGGAUGGACACCAAACCUGUGUGAAGCUCCUUCAACGAGUCGAGUAGUUUGGGAAUGCUGCUCUAAAUGGGAGGUAAAUCUCUUCUAAAGCUAAAUACCGGCCAGAGACCGAUAGCGCACAAGUAGAGUGAUCGAAAGAUGAAAAGCACCUUGAAAAGGGGGUUAAACAGUACGUGAAAUUGUUGAAAGGGAAGCGCUUGUGACCAGACUUGCGCCGGGCAGCUCAUCAGGGGUUCUCCCCUGUGCACUCUGCCCGGCUCAGGCCAGCAUCGGUUCUCGUGGGAGGAUAAGAACGGUUGGAACGUGGCCCCCCUCCGGGGGGGUGUUAUAGCCUACCGUACGAUACUCC